UACGGAGGGUGCAAGCGUUAUCCGGAUUCACUGGGUUAAAGGGUGUGUAGGCGGAUUUUUAAGUCAGUGGUGAAAUCUCCGGGCUCAACCCGGAAACUGCCAUUGAUACUAUUAGUCUUGAAUUCUGUUGAGGUGGGCGGAAUACAUCAUGUAGCGGUGAAAUGCUUAGAUAUGAUGUAGAACACCGAUUGCGAAGGCAGCUCACUAAGCAGACAUUGACGCUGAGGCACGAAAGCGUGGGGAUCAAACAGG
rnacentral:rRNA from 1 species